rnacentral:rRNA from 1 species
UACGUAGGGUGCGAGCGUUGUCCGGAAUUAUUGGGCGUAAAGAGCUCGUAGGCGGUCUGUCGCGUCGGAUGUGAAAACUCGGGGCCCAACCCCGAGCCUGCAUUCGAUACGGGCAGACUAGAGUUCGGUAGGGGAGACUGGAAUUCCUGGUGUAGCGGUGAAAUGCGCAGAUAUCAGGAGGAACACCGGUGGCGAAGGCGGGUCUCUGGGCCGAUACUGACGCUGAGGAGCGAAAGCGUGGGGAGCGAACAGG